rnacentral:rRNA from 1 species
CCUACGGGGCAGCAGUGGGGAAUAUUGGACAAUGGGCGCAAGCCUGAUCCAGCAAUGCCGCGUGAGUGAUGAAGGCCUUAGGGUCGUAAAGCUCUUUUACCAGGGAUGAUAAUGACAGUACCUGGAGAAUAAGCUCCGGCUAACUCCGUGCCAGCAGCCGCGGUAAUACGGAGGGAGCUAGCGUUGUUCGGAAUUACUGGGCGUAAAGCGUACGUAGGCGGUUAUUCAAGUCAGAGGUGAAAGCCCGGGGUCUCAACCCCGGAACGGCCUUUGAAACUAGGUAGCUAGAAUCUUGGAGAGGUCAGUGGAAUUCCGAGUGUAGAGGUGAAAUUCGUAGAUAUUCGGAAGAACACCAGUGGCGAAGGCGACUGACUGGACAAGUAUUGACGCUGAGGUACGAAAGCGUGGGGAGCAAACAGGAUUAGAUACCCUGGUAGUCCACGCCGUAAACGAUGAUAACUAGNUGUCGGUCGACUGUGUCUGUAGUGGCGCGAGACUACG